AUGAACAUUUCAGUGAAUGGCAAGCUUGGGGACCAUGCACUGCUUCAUGCCAGGGUUUGAAAAUCAGAAUUCGAAGCUGUCAAGCUGGUGCUACAUGCAAUGGAGAGACCACACAAAUACAGCCCUGUGGAGCACUUCAUUGUCCAGUGGAUGGUACUUUAACCCCCUGGGGGAAUUGGACACCAUGUACCGCCACCUGUGGAGGCGGAUCCCAGGUGAGAUCGCGGACAUGUAUUGCCCCUCAGUAUGGUGGCAAAGACUGUAAUGGGCAUUUAUUUGAAGCAAACAUCUGCAAUCAGGAUGCUUGUCCAAGUACGUAAAUUUCAUAGAAAGGAGUCUGGUUGAAUAGAAGACGACGAUAU